rnacentral:rRNA from 1 species
CCUACGGGAGGCUGCAGUGGGGAAUAUUGCGCAAUGGAGGGAACUCUUAUGCAGCAACGCCGCGUGAAUGAAGACGGUUUUCGGAUUGUAAAGUUCUAUAAUUGGGGAAGAAAGAAAUGACGGUACCCAAAUAAGAAGCCCCGGCUAACUACGUGCCAGCAGCCGCGGUAAUACGUAGGGGGCAAGCGUUAUUCGGAAUUACUGGGCGUAAAGGGAGAGUAGGCGGCAAGGUAAGCGAAAUGUGAAAGCCUUAGGCUUAACCUGAGGUUUGCAUAACGAACUAUCUAGCUAGAGUACAGGAGAGGAAAGCGGAAUUCCUAGUGUAGCGGUGAAAUGCGUAGAUAUUAGGAAGAACACCAGUGGCGAAGGCGGCUUUCUGGACUGAAACUGACGCUGAGGCUCGAAAGCGUGGGGAGCGAACAGGAUUAGAUACCCGUGUAGUC